CUGGUCACUGCCGUACUUGACUAGAUUUCGGUAAAAAAUUUAGAAAAGCGCCAUCUGCAAUCCUCUUCCUAAAGUAUUUAAUAUCUUCAAGUGAUAAUAGAUGGCUCUUUAAUCAAAAAUUAACUUCCAUAAAAUAUCACUAAAAUUAUUGAAAUCUAAAAAUUAUUUUAUAUAUUAGUAUUACGUAGGAAAUCUAUCAAUUAUUUUUAUUAAAUCUGUACACUAUUUUAUAUACAUAAAUUAUUUUUCUAUAAUUAUUUUUUUGGUUGGCAAUAAACCGUGCCAACUGCCAAUGCUGAAGUUAGAAUUUGAAUUUUAAUGGCGAGUACAGUACAUACAAUUUGUGUGUUAAGUUUUCGUCCAUUUAAGUGUUUUCUGCUGUUGACUUGCGUUGAUUUGAGUUUUACUCAUCCGCUGUGUUUUCGGUGAAUUAGUGAGUGAGUUGAGCUGUGCUCCUCUGUUUCAUUGUUUCACAUAACUUGCGAAAAGACGCCAUUAGUGUUUAGUAUUAUUUGCGAUAAAGACGCCUUUUUUGUGAUAUUUGUGAAAUAGACACUGUUAUUGUGUUAUUAGCGAUUAGAGACGCUUGUUUGAGUGCAUAUAAUCAUGCCGAGGCGGUGCGAAUUGGGAUGUUCACACAACCCGGGUAAGUGCUUUCUUUAUCAAGUUCAUAGUACCUAGGGCCCGAUUCUGUUAAUAGUAUCAUUAAGUUAUUAAUAUCAAAAUUGAAUGCGCCCCCCCCCCAUGGGGCCACCUUGACGUGAUGGGGGAAGGCAUGAACGCUUAAAGAAGUCAGUAAGAACUAGACGACCCUGUGCCAAUUGGUAAACAUGAGGUACCAUCAGAAAAUAUAGUCAUAACACCUCGGCUAACCCUUUCCAACUAACGGUCCCAACUUCCCAACUAACCUUCCCUUUCCCUUUACCUUCUCUUCAGUGUCUGAUAAAAUAUAUAUCUUAUUACUUUAAAAUAUGUACUCUGCAGUCACCUUCUCUCUUUCACCUCUUAACUUUUCUUUUUCUUAAGUUUUAAAACAUUGCUCCUAAUAUAAUUUAAUGCGACUACGAAAUAGAGUAAUAAUACCCCAGGCGGGUACCGGAGCUAAUCGCGAUGGAGAAUCCCGCCCCCUUUGUAUUCUGGGUGGGGGCGACGCUUUUUAAAUUUCAUUUUUUUCAUAGAUACCUUUAAGGCCACCUGUUUGCAGUAUAGUAAUAUUUAAUUGGAUAUAAAAUACUGUUCAUUCACCCCUUAACCAACUCGGUGAAGGUUGUUGUUUAGUGGGAUCUUAGACUUGUUUUUACUAUUUCCAGGUGCUCCAUCACAAGAUGCUCAUAUGCCUCCUGCAACUCCACAUAUACCAACUGAACUUCCUAUGCCUGAACAUAAUAUAUGGGAUCUGCCUUCUACAUCAAAGCAAAUAAUCACUGCUGCACCUCCCAAUGCGUGUGUUAUAGCAGCAGAACAUAAUUAUUGCAGUAAACAUGGUAUACAACAAAGACGGAAACUUAAAGGAGACAAAA